AUUGAACGCUGGCGGCAUGCCUUACACAUGCAAGUCGAACGGUAACGGGUCCUUCGGGAUGCCGACGAGUGGCGAACGGGUGAGUAAUAUAUCGGAACGUGCCCAGUAGUGGGGGAUAACUGCUCGAAAGAGCAGCUAAUACCGCAUACGACCUGAGGGUGAAAGGGGGGGAUCGAAAGACCUCUCGCUAUUGGAGCGGCCGAUAUCGGAUUAGCUAGUUGGUUGGGUAAAGGCCUACCAAGGCAACGAUCUGUAGUUGGUCUGAGAGGACGAGCAGCCACACUGGGACGGAGACACGGCCCAGACGCCUACGGGAGGCAGCAGUGGGGAAUUUUGGACAAUGGGCGCAAGCCUGAUCCAGCAAUGCCGCGUGCAGGAAGAAGGCCUUCGGGUUGUAAACUGCUUUUGUCAGGGAAGAAAUCUUCUGGGCUAAUACCCCGGGAGGAUGACGGUACCUGAAGAAUAAGCACCGGCUAACUACGUGCCAGCCGCCGCAGUAA
rnacentral:rRNA from 1 species